AUUGAACGCUGGCGGCAGGCCUAACACAUGCAAGUCGAGCGGAGCGGCGGACGGGUGAGUAAUGCCUAGGCAUCUGCCUGGUAGUGGGGGAUAACGUUCGGAAACGGGCGCUAUCACCGCUUACUCUCAGAGGAGCCUAGGUCGGAUUAGCUAGUUGGGGUGAUAAAGGCCUACCAAGACGACGAUCAGCAACUGGUCUGAGAGGAUGAUCAGUCACACUGGAACUGAGACGCGGUCCAGACUCCUACGGGAGGCAGCAGUGGGGAAUAUUGGGCAAUGGGCGAAAGCCUGACUCAGCCAUGCCGCGUGUGUGAAGAAGGCCUUCGGGUUGUAAAGUUCUUUCGGCGUGGAGGCGUGACCCGCAGAAGAAGCACCGGCUAACUCCGUGCCAGCAGCCGCGGUAAUAC
rnacentral:rRNA from 1 species